rnacentral:rRNA from 1 species
UACGGGAGGCAGCAGUGGGGAAUAUUGCACAAUGGGCGAAAGCCUGAUGCAGCUAUGCCGCGUGUAUGAAGAAGGCCUUAGGGUUGUAAAGUACUUUCAUCGGGGAGGAAAAAACAAAACUAAUAAUUUUAUUUCUUGACGUUACCCGAAAAAGAAGCACCGGCUAACUCCGUGCCAGCAGCCGCGGUAAUACGGAGGGUGCUAGCGUUAAUCAGAAUUACUGGGCGUAAAGAGCACGUAGGUGGUUUUUUUAAAAUCAGAUGUGAAAUCCCUGGGCUUAACCUAGGAACUGCAUUUUGAAACUGAAAUACUAGAGUAUCGUAGAGGGAGGUAGAAUUCUAGGUGUAGCGGUGAAAUGCGUAGAUAUCUGGAGGAAUACCUGUGGCGAAAGCGGCCUCCUAAACCGGAAUACUGACACUGAGGUGCGAAAGCGUGGGGAGCAAACAGGGAUUAGAUACC